GUGUAAAUUUGCUGUCCUCUCAAAAUAACUCAACACACAGCCAUUAAUGUCUAAACCGCUGGCAACAAAAGUGAGUACACCCCUAAGUGAAAAUGUCCAAAUUGGGCCCAAUUCGUCAUUUUCCCUCCCCGAUGUCAUGUGACUUGUUAGUGUUACAAGGUCUCAGGUGUGUUAAAUUUGGUGUCAUUGCUCUCACACUCCCUUAUGGUCACUGGAAGUUCAACAUGGCACCUCAUGGCAAAGAACUCCCUGAGGAUUUGAAAAAAAGAAUUGUUGCUCUACAUGAAGAUGGCCUAGGCUAUAAGAAGAUUGUCAAGACCCUGACACUGAGCUGCAGCAUGGUGGCCAAGACCAUACAGCGGUUUAACAGGACAGGUUCCACUCAGAACAGGCCUCGCCAUGGUCGACCAAAGAAGCUGAGUGCACAUGCAAAGGCAAACAAAGACAAGUGUCUCUUGCCUACAGUCAAGCAUGGUGGUGUGUGUGUCAUGUUCUGGGGCUGCAUGAGUGCUGCCGGCACUGUGGAGCUAGAGUUCAUUGAGGGAACCAUGAAUGCCAACAUGUACUGUGACAUAGUGAAGCAGAGCAUGAUCCCCGCCCUUCGGACACUGGGCCGCAGGGCAGUAUUCCAGCAUGCCUUGCUAAAGAAGCUGAGGGUGAAGAUGGUGGACUAAACCCUAUUGAGCAUCUGUGGGGCAUCCUCAAACGGAAGGUGGAGGAGCACAAGGUCUCGAACAUCCACCAGCUCCGUGAUGUCGUCAUGGAGGAGUGAAGAGGACUCCAGUGGCAACCUGUGAAGCUCUGGUGAACUCCAUGCCCAAGAGGGUUAAGGCAGUGCUGGAAAAUAAUGGUGGCCACACAAAAUAUUGACACUUUGGGCCCAAUUUGGACAUUUUCACUUAGGGGUGUACUCACUUUUGUUGCCAGUGGUUUAGACAUUAAUGGCUGUGUGUUGAGUUAUUUUGAGGGGACAGCAAAUUUGCACUGUUAUACAAGCUGUACACUCACUAAUUUACAUUGUAGCAAAGUGUCAUUUCUUCAGUGUUGUCACAUGAAAAUAUAUUAAGUAUUUACAAAAAUGUGAGGGGUGUACUCACUUUUGUGAGAUAGUGUGUGUGUGUGUGUGUGUGUGUGUGUAU
ensembl:lncRNA